AAAAAAAAAAAUGUGAAAAUUAUUGUACAAACAAAAAAUUCAAUCAAGAAAGCAAACCAUAAUAAUUUUCUAUCUUCCAGGAAAAAAAAAAAAUCUCAGGAACCAAGCAGCAGUUUUAAUAAAGGAAAUUUUCAAGAGAAAUGUGAAAUUUGUGUCAUAAUUCAUUCAAAACAGUAGAAAAGCUGAAGUUAGGACUCAAAAAUUGCAAAGGAAACUUAAGAAAAAGCCUAAAAUGAUACAGUAAAAAAGAAAGAAAUAAAGGAAAUCACUAAUUUUCCAUGGAAUGUUAUCACAAGCAUGCCGUAGUUAUACCAGAAAUCAACCAACAAGAUAACUAAGGGGUGACUUCCAACAACCACUCUGCACAAUUACACCAAUUCUUAAGAAACCAAGGUAAGCAUCCAUUUGCCAUUGUUUUACAACUGGAAAAAUGUCUUGGUCACCUGUUAUGAUGCUCUUUAGGAAUA
rnacentral:misc_RNA from 1 species